GAAUUCCAGUGUAACCCUAGUUUUACAUUAUAAACGCCUUGCUUAUUCUAUGUAUUUACAGUGUAAUGUUCCCAAUAAUGCAGUGCUAUCCCAGAUUUACAGUCUAAGCCCCCUUGCUUUUAUUUCCGUAUUUAUAGUGUAAUUUCCGCCCUAAUUUUUAGUGUAAUAUUCAUGCUUCAGCUCUGCAAUUUAUAGGUUUUAGUUUAAUGGGUAAGCUUCGGAAAGUCUCUCGCCAGGACGUUACAUUAGUAUCAUCUUCGGAAUUUGCAUUUGUGGGUUCGGUUCUGUUGCGCCUUCUUCGCUUGGUGUAGCUUUGUUUUGCAUUUCUUCCAAUGUCUGCAGCAGAGUUCUCAAGAUGUAAGUUUCUCAAUUUUUUGUCAGGUCAUGAGUUUUUCACCAAUAGUUUCACUUACUCUAGAAUGAAUUGUUGGGCUGUUGGUGUUAUGUGUUUUGUUACUGGAGUCCUCCACUCUUAAUUGUGUUGUUGAUGUAGCCCCAUUUGCCGAAUGUACCUGCAAUCACCAUGUUAAGUUAACUGGAGUUCUUGUUGGAAUAGCAUACUAAGAAAACACUCUUUUUUGUCAAGAGGUUUGGUACCACUACUGUAUUUCAAAGUUGCUUUUCUGACCUUGUACAUAAUGUCUUAUUGUAGGAGUGCUGUAAAAGAAAACGAUUCCUACAAUGUAUUUUUUGUGUGAGCUAUUUUGAUUUUGAUGUACGCAACAUUUUCUUGUGAGUUUUUGCCAUUUAGUGAUACUCACAUUUUGAAUGAGAUCUUCUUGUGAUAGUGACAGUACAUUGUCUUUUGUUAUUGUUCUUCUCAUGCUCCCCAUCUACAUUUUUUUGUAAAGAAUUAUCUGUGAAUUACUGGAUCUGUAUAAAAAGUCGAGAAUUAGGAGGACA